CAGCCCCUCGAGUGGUGGGGAUGAUUAUUUGGCCUAAAGCGUCCGUAGCCGGCCGUGUAAGUCUCCCGUUAAAUCCAGCGUCUUAAGCGUUGGACCGCGGGAAAUACUGUACGGCUAGAGAGUGGGAGAGGUCAGCGGUAUUCUGGGGGUAGGGGCGAAAUCCUUUGAUCCCCGGAGGACCACCAGUGGCGAAGGCUGCUGUCUAGAACACGUCUGACGGUCAGGGACGAAAGCUGGGGUAGCGAACCGGAUUAGAGACCCGAGUAGUCC
rnacentral:rRNA from 1 species